AACGAACGCUGGCGGCAUGCCUAACACAUGCAAGUCGAACGAAGUCUUCGGACUUAGUGGCGCACGGGUGCGUAACGCGUGGGAAUCUGCCCUUGGGUACGGAAUAACUCAGAGAAAUUUGUGCUAAUACCGUAUAAUGUCUUCGGACCAAAGAUUUAUCGCCCAAGGAUGAGCCCGCGUAAGAUUAGCUAGUUGGUGGGGUAAAAGCCUACCAAGGCGACGAUCUUUAGCUGGUCUGAGAGGAUGAUCAGCCACACUGGGACUGAGACACGGCCCAGACUCCUACGGGAGGCAGCAGUGGGGAAUAUUGGACAAUGGGCGAAAGCCUGAUCCAGCAAUGCCGCGUGAGUGAUGAAGGCCCUAGGGUUGUAAAGCUCUUUUACCAGGGAUGAUAAUGACAGUACCUGGAGAAUAAGCUCCGGCUAACUCCGA
rnacentral:rRNA from 1 species